CUGCCCAGUGACAGUGUUCAACGGCCGCGGUAUCCUAACCGUGCAAAGGUAGCAUAAUCACUUGCCUAUUAAUUGUAGGCUAGAAUGAACGGAUAAACGAAAUAAAACCUGUCUCAAUCAAUAAACUAAAAAUUAGUAUCUACAUGAAGAACUGUAGAUAAAAUCGAAGGACAAGAAGACCCUAUAGAGCUUUAUUCUAAGUACAAAUAUGAUUAUACUAAAAUUCGGUUGGGGCGACCAAGGAAAUCAAAAAACAUCCUAUAAAAUAAAGAUAUAUAAAUCUAUAAAACGAUCCUUACUAAGAUCAUAAAAUCAAGCUACCUUAGGGAUAACAGGCUAAUCCUAUUAAAGAGUUCAUAUCUACAAUAGGGGUUGGCACCUCGAUGUUGGCUUAGGAUAUCAAUAUAGCGCAAAAGUUAUAUAAAGAUGGUUUGUUCAACCAGUAAUAUCCU
rnacentral:rRNA from 1 species